AAUGAACGUUGGCGGCAUGGAUUAGGCAUGCAAGUCGGGGGAAUCCCAGCAAUGGGGGAACCGGCGUAAGGGGCAGUAAGGCAUGGGUACCUACCUUGGGGUUCGGGAUAGCCAGCAGAGAUGGUGGGUAAUACCGGAUGACGUCGUGAGACCAAAGAGUUAUCGCCCUUAGAGGGGCCCAUGUGAUAUUAGCUAGUUGGUGGGGUAACGGCCCACCAAGGCGAAGAUGUCUAGCGGGUGUGAGAGCACGACCCGCGCCACUCGCACUGAGACACUGGCGAGACACCUACGGGUGGCUGCAGUCGAGGAUCUUCGGCAAUGAGCGCAAGCUUGACCGAGCGAUGCCGCGUGAGCGAUGAAGGCCUUCGGGUUGUAAAGCUCUUUAGUGGGGGAGAAAAGCCGCAAGGUGUGAUCUAUCCCAAAAAUAAGCACGGGCUAAGUUCGUGCCAGCCGCCGCAGUAA
rnacentral:rRNA from 1 species